rnacentral:lncRNA from 1 species
UCGAGGUUCGCAGAGGUUAUGCGUGCUCUUCGGCGUUUUACAGAAUUUUGUUGUGUAUUGUGUUUGCAUGGCCUGAUCUUUGUCUCUCUGAAUGUUUGUCAAGGCUUUCCUUGGGGCUCCGCUCUGGUGAAAUAAUGUGCAGCUUUGCAAACUGUGGUCUAAUGAUUUGCUACCUCCGAUCCUUUCAGACUCAGUGUACUCAGUUGAGUGUCUUCUUUAAGGAAUGGAGCAGUGUAAAGAGCAGGAAGGACGAUGAGAAGACAGGAAGAAAGUGUGCAGUUCAUCUCUCGUAAGUUUUACCGGACUUCUUCUGCUCCUGUGUGGGGAAAGCUUUCUUAUGUGCACCGUGUAUACCUACCUUACAGUUAGUUUUUCAUCCCUUCCCCCUUACCUGCCUCAUCUGCCUUCACAUCCUUUUCUCUAUAGUCUACCAAAUGGAAGGACCCGGAGGAAGUCAAAAAUCCUAGAGAUUCAUGACCCUAACCUGUGUUGGGUUUAUUACGAACAAUAACAAUCGUUAUUUGUUAUAUAGAAUUUGCUCACCUGAACCACUGGCAGAAAUGUUUUCUUUGGCGUAUAAAGUGUUCGAUAAAAUUUGGAAAGUUCCUAUAAAAAUAUGAAUUCCUUGAUUUUGUAAGAAAACAAACAAACAAAAAAACAAAAACAAAAAUAACACAGCAAUUCCAACUGGCCUACGCUUGGCCACACAGACCCUUGGCUUCUUACAGGCAGCUGUUAGGCUGGAACAAAUGAAAAUGAAAAUAUUUAUGACUCAGAAUAGUAGCCAGAGUUCUCUCUCUCACUGUAGUCUUAUUUCUCCCAACUGUGCUAUGGGGCAGCAAGACAAGA